rnacentral:rRNA from 1 species
UACGUAGGGUGCGAGCGUUAAUCGGAAUUACUGGGCGUAAAGCGUGCGCAGGCGGUGAUGUAAGACAGAUGUGAAAUCCCCGGGCUCAACCUGGGAACUGCGUUUGUGACUGCACGACUUGAGUACGGCAGAGGGGGGUGGAAUUCCACGUGUAGCAGUGAAAUGCGUAGAGAUGUGGAGGAAUACCGAUGGCGAAGGCAGCCCCCUGGGAUAACACUGACGCUCAUGCACGAAAGCGUGGGGAGCAAACAGGAUUAGAAA